GACGAACGCUGGCGGCGUGCUUAACACAUGCAAGUCGAACGGAAAGGCCCUGCUUUUGUGGGGUGCUCGAGUGGCGAACGGGUGAGUAACACGUGAGUAACCUGCCCUUGACUUUGGGAUAACUUCAGGAAACUGGGGCUAAUACCGGAUAGGAGCUCCUGCUGCAUGGUGGGGGUUGGAAAGUUUCGGCGGUUGGGGAUGGACUCGCGGCUUAUCAGCUUGUUGGUGGGGUAGUGGCUUACCAAGGCUUUGACGGGUAGCCGGCCUGAGAGGGUGACCGGCCACAUUGGGACUGAGAUACGGCCCAGACUCCUACGGGAGGCAGCAGUGGGGAAUAUUGCACAAUGGGCGGAAGCCUGAUGCAGCAACGCCGCGUGCGGGAUGACGGCCUUCGGGUUGUAAACCGCUUUCGCCUGUGACGAAGCGUGAGUGACGGUAAUGGGUAAAGAAGCACCGGCUAACUACGUGCCAGCAGCCGCGGUGAUACGUAGGGUGCGAGCGUUGUCCGGAUUUAUUGGGCGUAAAGGGCUCGUAGGUGGUUGAUCGCGUCGGAAGUGUAAUCUUGGGGCUUAACCCUGAGCGUGCUUUCGAUACGGGUUGACUUGAGGAAGGUAGGGGAGAAUGGAAUUCCUGGUGGAGCGGUGGAAUGCGCAGAUAUCAGGAGGAACACCAGUGGCGAAGGCGGUUCUCUGGGCCUUUCCUGACGCUGAGGAGCGAAAGCGUGGGGAGCGAACAGGCUUAGAUACCCUGGUAGUCCACGCUGUAAACGGUGGGUACUAGGUGUGGGGUCCAUUCCACGGGUUCCGUGCCGUAGCUAACGCUUUAAGUACCCCGCCUGGGGAGUACGGCCGCAAGGCUAAAACUCAAAGGAAUUGACGGGGCCCCGCACAAGCGGCGGAGCAUGCGGAUUAAUUCGAUGCAACGCGUAGAACCUUACCUGGGUUUGACAUGGAUCGGGAGUGCUCAGAGAUGGGUGUGCCUCUUUUGGGGUCGGUUCACAGGUGGUGCAUGGCUGUCGUCAGCUCGUGUCGUGAGAUGUUGGGUUAAGUCCCGCAACGAGCGCAACCCUUGUUCACUGUUGCCAGCACGUUAUGGUGGGGACUCAGUGGAGACCGCCGGGGUCAACUCGGAGGAAGGUGGGGAUGACGUCAAGUCAUCAUGCCCCUUAUGUCCAGGGCUUCACGCAUGCUACAAUGGCUGGUACAGAGAGUGGCGAGCCUGUGAGGGUGAGCGAAUCUCGGAAAGCCGGUCUCAGUUCGGAUUGGGGUCUGCAACUCGACCUCAUGAAGUCGAAGUCGCUAGUAAUCGCAGAUCAGCAACGCUGCGGUGAAUAAAUUCCCGGGGCU
rnacentral:rRNA from 1 species